CAUUGCAGCACCCCAUAGCACCCUCAACCUGAAACCACCACCCCCCCGCAACAGCCGUGCAGUGCAGCCCUGGAUAGGACACUUAGCCCACCUCACUGUUGCCAGCAAUACAGUCUGGGAUAGUUUCCCCAACAGGCUCCCCGCCGGGGGCAGUGCAGCCCCGGUUAGGGCCCCCAAACCACCCCCGGGUGCAGGCAGCACAGCCCCAGAUAGCACACCUAACCAGCCACCCAAGGUGGGCAGUGACGCCUGAGAUAGGGCCCCCAACCCGUCCCAGGCCAAGGGCAGUGCAGCCCUGGAUAGCGCACUUACCCCGACGCUUUUCUACACUCUGGCCGGUUGCAGUGUCCAUCGCUGCCACCAACCGCAGCGGGCAAGGCAAGCCAGCGAGGCAAGGCGAGGCAAGCCGGCGAGGUGGUGAGCCAGGGAGGCCAGCCACAGCCCGGUAGGCUGCAGCCUCCAGCAUGCAGUGGCUGGCACCUCCUACUCCAAGCUGGCAAUGGAGCAGCUAUGAAGUCAGAUGCCGACGAGGCUGGAAUAGUGCAACUCUAGCUCUUAACAUGCUUUAUAUACCGAGAUUAUAAACUACAUGUUCUGAUUGGAUGAGAGGAAAACACUAGGCCUACUCUGAUUGGACUUUAUUGUCACGUUCUGAUUGGUUAGCCUAAGACUUGUUCUGAUCCAAUCAGAACAUGAAAAUAACGUCCAAUCAGAGUAGGCGUAGAUGUUUCUCUCAUCCAAUCAGAACGUGAAGUCCGAGAACCAGGCCUGCACAACCCCCCAGUAUAUAAGGUAUGCUAAGGGGGCGUCGCGCUGUUGCAGGCUAUCGUGUGUUAACCUGUACUUCUGCCGCAGAGUUUGGAGAAAGCGGCAGCAGAUUGUGCUGCCGCAGGCUGGAGCCUGGAACCUGGAGCCCUGGAGCCUUGAAUGGUGUGUGGUGGCAAUGGAGAGAGGCAGCUGGCAGUGACAGCUGCUCCGUGCUUGGCUACAGGAAGGAAAGAAGGAGAAAGCACCUACCAUAGGCUGGAGGCUAGAGCCUGCAGGACUGCGGCUGGCCUCGCUGGCUCGCCUCCCUGGCUGGCCUCGCUGUGGUUGGUGGCAGCGACGGAUACUGCAGCUGGCCAGAGUGUAGAAAGGCAAUGGGGUAGGAGCGCAGUCCUGGUGGGCCCAGCGGUUCCUGUGGAUUGGAGCCAGGCAGUGUGAUGUUACCAGUCACCACUCCAGGUCCCAGUUCCUGGCCCGCUUGAGCCAAAAGGAGAGGCUGGACUUUGGAGGGUGGAUAUGAGUGCCUUCACUGAGACUGGCCCCUGCCACCCAGUGGCCAGGAUGACAAGCAAGGUAAGCUGUCAUCAGUUGGAGGUAAGCAGAAGACAGUAGAGAGUACAGAGCCCUGGACUGUGACUCAGAGGAUGAGCACCAGAUCCAGUUUGCUGUGCCACAGUGCCUUCUCCAAAGUCACUCACAGAAGGCAUCCCACUCAACCUCACCUUGGGGUAAAUCAAAAUAGUCCUCCUUCUGAAGCUACCGGGUAAAACGGUGGUAGCUGUGCAGCUGCUGCUGAUCAACAGGCUCCAGAAACAGCAGCAGGAGGUGAGCAGUCCCUGCGUUGGCCACCAAGUGGUAGGUGGCCAGCCCUACCUCCAAGUUGCACUGUUUACUUAUUCAUCUUUCAUGGUAAAGCCUCCAGUUGCCUAUUAUGAAAUCAGCAAUAAUCAUGUGUCCCCUGUCUGGGUCCCUGAAAAGAUGGAAAGAGGCAGAUCAGGCUGGUGCUCUGAGAAUGACAGACAUCAAACAAGAAUGAAAAGUGUCACCCUCCUUGGACUUAUUCAGUAACUCAUGCCCUUGAGCAAAGGAGGAUUUUCUAUCAAAGGACAUGGAUUUCUGUGUCUUUCUCUUGAGAUAACAUUGCUGGGUGACCACAGAAAGCUGGCUCUGGAAGCACAGAAGCUGCCUUUCCUUGAGUAAUAAUGUCUCUUCAAAGGGAGCUGGAGCAUGAGUAGUGUACAUGCCUCAGAUUUCAGUGAAAAGUUCAGAGGAGGCCUGAGAAGAAGGUCCUGGGAAUGAAUCAUCUAGAUGACUCAACCUUGCAAAGCCAUCCACCUCAUUGUGGAUAUCAUUCAAUACAUUUGGUGCUCCAUCAUCCUAUUUCCAUGGCUAUUUCCUCACAUUUUUCAAAGUCUGUUUCUUGAGCCCUGACUGUGUCAAAUAGCAUGCCCUGUUAUUCUUGGGCUUCCCUCUCUGUUCUAGUAUUCAGGGAGAUUUCAGAGGCUGGGGUAAAUCUCAGACCAAGAAGACGCAAUGGUUUUGAGGUAGAGAUCCUAGGAAUAUAGAAUUCUGAGCUAUGCAGUGGUCCUUUGCUUUCAGGAAAUCAAGUUUGAUAGUAUCACCUGAAGCAUACUUACAUUAUCCACAAAUGACAGCUCCUUACUUGAGCAGUUAAAUUGUGGCAAGUCUUAACACACAGAUUCCUCUUAAAUGCCACCUAAUCCCUGCCUGGCUUCAAGCCUCUGGCUUCCCUUGGAGAGGGGCAGAGUCUCUCUGUGUGAGAGAUUCUUCAUUUCUGCUUUCUGCCCUGUCAGUUUCUACUUACUUGCUCUUCCACCUUGUCCACAAGGCUUAUCUAGCGGCUGUUUACCUCUGAGCAGAGAAAAUGGAAGUCAGCAGAGACAAGGUUGAAAUUUCUCAGGAAGGAUUUUUUUUUUCCACUUUAUCGUGCAGCAAGAGUAAAGCCUUUUUUUCGGUGAUUCUUUCCUCCACAAUGGCCAUUGGCUGCCCUCUGUCACACACAGGUGUGACUCCCUUGUUAUUAACUGUCAGGUGGGAAUUUCUAGGGAAGAAGGAGAGUGCUUUGUUAACCUCUUAACAUCUCCCCAAAUUGCAUCAUAUUCUCUCCCUUUCCCCUCCCAGUUACCUUUUCUAUUUUUGAUUUCCCCUUUUUCAGUCUGAUUUGGGGAUUUCAGUUCCCACUAACUUUGUAUAAUAUCCUCCUAUCUCUGAAAGAACAAGUUCCAUCUCCAUUUUCCAGGAGAGUUUUUUUCCUUGCAGUAAGAGCACCCCAUCAUCUCUCCAUUUCUACCUCCCCAUCCCAG
rnacentral:lncRNA from 1 species